rnacentral:rRNA from 1 species
GACGUAGGGCGCGAGCGUUGUCCGGAUUUAUUGGGCGUAAAGAGCUCGUAGGCGGCUUGUUGCGUCGACCGUGAAAACUUGGGGCUUAACCCUGAGCUUGCGGUUGAUACGGGCAGGCUAGAGUUCGGUAGGGGAGACUGGAAUUCCUGGUGUAGCGGUGAAAUGCGCAGAUAUCAGGAGGAACACCGGUGGCGAAGGCGGGUCUCUGGGCCGAUACUGACGCUGAGGAGCGAAAGCGUGGGGAGCGAACAGG